AUGAUUCGAGAGGGCUGAGGGAAGAGUGUGGUCCUCGCUGGCCCGAAGCUAUGUCCUUGGCUUCUCUCGAUGACGAUUCCUGACUCGAUUCUUGGGAAAACAUCCAAUUUCUUCAGUCCAGACCUCGGGGCCCGCCUUUCCCCAGUGUCGCCCCCACCCAGCCUGGACGUAUUGGCCAAGCCGUUCUCUAGGACGCGUCAUUCUGCAAGACAUGGUGGUGACCCCUGGCUCUCAGUCUUCCUGAUCGAGGGGCUCCGUUGCACAGC